CUUUAGAGUAGACUAUAGUACAGACUAUGGACUAGACUAUAGUUUCGACUAUAGCUCCAGCUCUUGACUAGUCUAGACUCAAGACUAGACAAUAGUCCAUAGUCUGAACUAUAGAUUACACUAUAGUCCAGACUAUGGACUAGACCAUAUCCCAAACUAUAGACUACACUUUAGUCCAAACUAUAGACUAGACUAUAGUCCAAACUAUAAACUAGACUAUAGACUAUGUUAUAGUUCAGAUUGUGGACUAGACCGUUGCUCAGACUAUGAACUAGACUAUAUUCCAGACUAGAUUAUAGUCCAGACUAUUGUGUAGAAUAGACAGUCCAAAGCAGACUUUCCGCAGAAAUAUUGAAAGUAGACUCUUGUCCCGUGUAUAGUCUAUAUACUAGACUGUUGUGCAGAAUAUAAAUGAGUGUAUAGAUUAGAAUGUUGACUAAUUCCAAUCUUUACAUUAAAUAGUAAUCAAUACUAUGGGUCAUAUUAUAGGCUAAACUAUAGAUUAGAGUAUAUAAUAGAUUUUAACCUAUAUAAGAUCUAGGUAGUCUAGUCCAGUCCAUUGACAAAAUUAGACAACAAAUUCAGAACAUUGACUUAAUUAUAAACUAGAUAAGUGUGCAGAAUAUGGACAAGACCCUUUGUCAAACUUUUAACGUUAAUUGUUUAUCAGUAAAUUGAGGUUACAUGAUGUUUGUGUUGGUUUAAAGGUUUUUUCAAGAUUUAGCCAAUUUCCGUUUUAACCAAAAUUUAAAAAAAUUGAAAUAUCUUAAAAUUUGCCUAAGUGUAAAAUGAUGCCUGCAUAAAUCGAAUAGUAACGAAAUAAAAAAAAUCUCAUCAUAUUAGUGCUAAUCGAGCGCUAAUUUAAAUUUAUUUAAGAAAAAUCAUGAUCUGUGCAAAAUGUGUAUAUGUAUAUAUUUUGCUUAAAAUUUACAACUAUAAAAUGCUGAGAUUUAUUUUAAGAGUUUUUUUUUCUUUACAAAUGAAACAUUUUUUUUUCAAAAGUAGUGCACUGCCAUACAGCAGUUUAAAAUGAACAAUCUACAGCGUCAGGGGCAUUUUGUAUAUAACUUUAUUUAGGUUUUUUGGAUUUGUAAGAAAAAAUAUUUCUCAUGGUUAAUUUGUUUAUAUUACUACAACAUUACAUAUACAAUACGGCGCAAACUUCAAGAGCUACGAAAAUCACAAAUCACUCUGCAAUGGCAUGAACAACUUGGUUUUUAAGAGUACAAACUUUGGGCAAGAGAGUUGCUUGCCCGCUCAUUUGUUUAAUUAUAAAGAAUAUAUAUGUUCAAUUAAAAAUCAAAUUGUACACACGGUUUUUCAUUUUAACAAAAUUUUUUUUAAGGAAAAAGAGUUCAAUGAACUUAUUUUUUUAGGUUUUUAGUUUAAUUUAAAUUUUGUAUAUUUGUUUGGUAAAAAAAUAAAUAAAUAAUUUUUCUUCCGAUUUGUAAUUUAACAAAAGGGGAGAGAGAGAUUUAUUUAUUUGUUGUUGUUGUAAGUAAUUACCUACAAUAAUUACUAAAAAGGGGAAUAAUAAAAUUAGAUUUGUAUAAAAUAAUGAAAUUAUUUAUUUAUAGUGGCGCUUUGUUAAAUCAAAAUUUUAUUACUCUUUUACUUAUACGUGGAAGCCCCCUUUUUAAAAUGAUCUACAACAACAACUACAUCAGCAACAGCAGCAGAGGCUAUACAGCCAAACGAUUGAUCAUUCUUAUUCAUUCAGUUUAGUCAAUCAGUCAGUAAGUUUGCUGCUUUUAACGUUAAAGGUUCUUUAAAAUUUCUCUACUGCUGGUUGGUGGUAGUACGAGUGUGUGUGUGUGUGUGUGUAUGUGUGUAUUUAUGUGUCUGUGCGUUUUAAUGAUUUAAGGUUGUCGACAUUUAAUUGAAUACAACACACAGAACACACUCUUCUUGCAGCAGUCAGCACGUGCUGUUUUAGCUGAAAACUUAUAAAAUAUAAGAAGAAUCGGAGCAAAAACAAAAA